rnacentral:rRNA from 1 species
AUUGAACGCUGGCGGCAGGCUUAACACAUGCAAGUCGAGCGAGCGUCGGACGGGUGAGUAAUGUCUGGGUAACUGCUUGCUGGUGGGGGAUGAUUCCGGGAAACGGUAGCUACUACUGCACACCAUCAUCUGUGCCCAGAUGGGAUUAGCUAGUUGGUGGGGUAAUGGCUCCCCUAGGCAACGAUCCCUAGCUGGUCUGAGAGGAUGACCAGCCACAUGGGAACUGAGACACGGCCCAGCCUCUUACGGGAGGACGAAGUGGGGAAUCUUGGACAAUGGAGGAAAGCCGGAUGCAGGAAAGCCGCGGGAGUGAAGAAGGCCUUCGGGUUGUAAAGCACUUUCAGCGAGGAAGCGGUACUCGCAGAAGAAGCACCGGCUAACUCCGUGCCAGCAGCCGCGGUAAUUC